AGCUACUAAACCGAUAAAGCACAAUCAGCUCCCCUUGCUAGGAAGUGACAAAUGCGCCUUAGGGCACGGUAUCGAUGAUGUGCGGAUCACGGUCUCUAACGGCGCACAGCGGGGCCAUUAUCGUGUGUUGUCACCGCGUGCCAUUAAAAGGACUUUAAUCUGCCGAUCGCCGCCGCGGUACGCGGCUCCUGCCAGGGAUCUACCGACUAACAGGCCGGGACGCUGCGAAAUCCCCCAGCCCCCGGGGUCGCCUGAAAAACACGACCCGGCUCCCCCGUCAGUCAGUCGCGGCAACUCAAUUAAUGCAUCUGGGUCAGGAAAAUGGUUUGCGGGAGCCUGAGCCCGGUUACGAAACGCGGAUACCGCGGCGGGUACCGCGGGCGGCGGCGGAGGGCAGCACCCGCUGAGCCCAGUUCUGAAUAACAGCAUCAGAUUCUGUCCUGGUGUCCCUGGAACACCUGGACAUUUUCUUAAGAUUUCUCCUACAUCUGCCCUGAAGCAAAUGCAAGCAGAACUGAGGAAUCUCAGCCUCUUCUCCAGUGCUGGCAGAAGUUGCCUCUUGUCAUUGCAGGUCUGGUAAGAGACUGGUCAGCCUGGAUGCCUGCAAGGCUCUGCCCAGCCCUUUACCUCGUCUCUGACAGCAGCCACUGGAGCAGGACAAAAUAGUUACACAGGGGGUGCACUACGGAUGUGGUACUGUACAGAAAGACCUCACCAUUUCCAUGCAGGAAUAAAAGAACCAGGUACACCUUUCUAGUUUUGAUGCAGGAUUUGGUUUUUAGCACCUGGAUAACAUUACUGACCUCCAGAGCAUUGCUGUAGACUGUGAAGUAGUACCAAAUAAAAUACAAAGUUCUACAUUUACUUUCUCCUGAAGAUUUUUCUGUCAAACUGGGUCAACUUCUAAGUAAAGCAAGAGAGCAUUUUAAUCUGUCAGCACUUCAAAACCAGUCUGGUACUUGAAAAUUACUUCUGGGCUUAAAAAUGUUAUGGACUCUGAAUUUGGAAUGCAGUAUUGUUGGUACAUAAGAUCUAAUGGUAUAUAAUUCAAAACCUGAUCUUUCCUGAUCUUAGCUGACCAUUAUUUUAGCAAAUGUUUGCUUUGGUGGGGUUUGGGGGUGAUAUGAGCAAAUGAAAGCUCCAUGAAGAUAUUUUUGCUAACACUGAAAAUGAAAAACUAAACCAACAUCCCCCCAGUUUUUUAAUCAGUAGUGUUUACCACCUUUAAAAAAAUGCACUCUAUUAUAGAUGUGGAAGCAGAUCAUAAAACUGCUCUGCCCAGAUCUGCAGGGGAAUCAAACAGAUGGCAGAUCCCACUGCAAUUUGGAUGAAGAUUUCAUAGCUAGAUAAUCAAGAAAAUAGUAAAGUGGUUUCAAGGUCAACAAUGAGGUGAAAAUCAGAUUUUCUUCAGCUAGGAGCAUCUACAGCCUUUCUCACACAUUUAGAGGAAAUGCACCAAACUCAGAAAUUUCUUCACUACCAAGAGCAAAAGCCCUCAGUGUAAGAAGAUAUGGCUACAGGGGAGAAUUUUCUUGGUUAACUAGCUUUUUUAAAAUUAAAAUUUAAACUAUUAUUUCCAAAUAGUUGUGCAUGACUAUUUAUGUGACUGUAUGUUAGUAUGUUUUUUUAAAUUCAAUUAAACCUACAGGUGGUCAUACACCAGAUUGUAAAUAAUAUUAGUUAUGAAUUUUGGCAACCAAAAUGAUUUUCAAAUAAUGAUUAUUGUUAUUGAAUUUGUUCUGGGACCAACACUCAUGUAGAGCUGUUGGCAGAUGUUUCUUUUCCUCUGUGCUUGUGUCUUUUAUGCCCUCACAAAUCCCUGAAUUGAGAAGUUAUAGCUUUAAAUGGAAAAUAUC